CUGCACUGAACAAAUAAUACAAAACAAAGACCUUCACUUUUUUUCUAUAGUAUAUUUUGAGGGCGUUCACUAGUAGCACAAGCACAUGAUGGACAGAUGUUUCUAAUUAGAUGUUAAAUGAACAUCUGCAAGUAAACCCAUUUUCUGUCACUGAGUAUGUAUAGAUUUGAGGAAUCUUGGCUUCAUGUGCUGGUAAACUAUUUGUAUUAUUAUUUUUUGAUUGCCAAUCCAGGACCAACGUGAUGUCCACAUGAGACGAACCCUGGCCCUCCAUGCACUCCCAGUGUACUUGCGCGAGGAUGACAGUGAGUUCUUCAAGACUUGCAAUGGGGAAGAUGAGCCAGAUAUUGCCGGCACCCCACUGGCUCUCCUCACUGUGGGCAACUACUGGUCACGACAUCUUCAGCCCAAACAGCAUUUGUGUUGUAGUAGAAGAUGACGUUG
rnacentral:lncRNA from 1 species